rnacentral:rRNA from 1 species
AAAUUGAAGAGUUUGAUCAUGGCUCAGAUUGAACGCUGGCGGCAGGCCUAACACAUGCUAGUCGAGCGGUAGCACAGAGAGCUUGCUCUCGGGUGACGAGCGGCGGACGGGUGAGUAAUGUCUGGGAAACUGCCUGAUGGAGGGGGAUAACUACUGGAAACGGUAGCUAAUACCGCAUAAUGUCGCAAGACCAAGUGGGGGACCUUCGGGCCUCAUGCCAUCAGAUG